rnacentral:rRNA from 1 species
AUGGCGGAGGAACCGUCCGCCAAGCGUCACCAUGGUGAGACUUCGAACAAGAGCAGCAACCUCGUCGACAUUCACGUCCCCGGCGAGAAGUGCGAGUACACCAAAACGCUCAAAGGGGUUGAACUCCACGACAAGGAGACGCUGGAGAUCGUCUGCACCAGCAUACCAGACAAGGCCGACGAGGUGAUGAGCAGGCUCAGGAUGAAGGGCGGUGGCUUGUAUCCGAGCUUCAUUGGAGUUGAUGUGGAGCCCAAGCGCCUCAAAGACAUCCUGCAGGAGGAGAAAUUGUACACAUUUGUCGGUUUCAGCAUUGGAGGUGACAAGCGGAUGCUGGAGAAGUCUGGUUUGGAAAUCAACCCAACAACUUCAUCGACAUGCAGCGCAAGUGGAAAGAUCCAAAGACCACCAAAUACUACGACUCCUUGGCCGAUGUUGCAGGCGGCAUCAUCCACCCAUUCUACGAAGGCAUGA